rnacentral:rRNA from 1 species
GAUGAACGCUGGCGGCGUGCCUAAUACAUGCAAGUCGAGCGAACAGAUGAGGAGCUUGCUCCUCUGACGUUAGCGGCGGACGGGUGAGUAACACGUGGAUAACCUACCUAUAAGACUGGGAUAACUUCGGGAAACCGGAGCUAAUACCGGAUAAUAUAUUGAACCGCAUGGUUCAAUAGUGAAAGACGGUUUUGCUGUCACUUAUAGAUGGAUCCGCGCCGCAUUAGCUAGUUGGUAAGGUAACGGCUUACCAAGGCAACGAUGCGUAGCCGACCUGAGAGGGUGAUCGGCCACACUGGAACUGAGACACGGUCCAGACUCCUACGGGAGGCAGCAGUAGGGAAUCUUCCGCAAUGGGCGAAAGCCUGACGGAGCCACGCCGCGUGAGUUAUGAAGGUCUUCGGAUCGUAAAACUCUGUUACUAGGGAAGAACAAAUGUGUAAGUAACUAUGCACGUCUUGACGGUACCUAAUCAGAAAGCCACGGCUAACUACGUG